rnacentral:rRNA from 1 species
AUUGAACGCUGGCGGCAGGCCUAACACAUGCAAGUCGAACGAGUGGCGGACGGGUGAGUAAUGUCUGGGAAACUGCCCGAUGGAGGGGGAUAAAUACUGGCAACGGUAGCUAAUACAGCAUACUAUCAGAUGUGCCCAGAUGGGAUUAGCUAGGUGGUGGGGUAACGGCUCAACAAGGCGACGAUCCAUAGCUGGUCUGAGAGGAUGACGUGACACACUGGAACUGAGACACGGACCAUACUCCGACGGGAGGCAGCAGUGGGGAAUAUUGCACAAUGGGCGCAAGCCUGAUUCAGCCAUACCGCGUGUAUGAAGAAGGCCUUAGGGUUGUAAAGUACUUUCAGCGGGGAGGCGUUACCCGCAGAAGAAGCACCGGCUAACUCCGUGCCAGCAGCCGCGGUAAUAC